rnacentral:lncRNA from 1 species
UUAUCCACAAUUGUUCAUAUGUUGGAAGUAGAUAUGAAUGAAGAUUGUCAUGAAUUGGUAUGUAGAUUGUCUAAAUGGUAUUAGACAUAGCAAAGGGUUGCUACAACGUUCAUGAGUGCUUAUGAACUGGUUUUGAGCAUUGGAACAAACCCGCGCUUGCUGGAAUCACCUUAUGGAAUAUGAUAUAAAAGGGUGAUCGCAAGACGAUAAUAUCAUAUACUCUUAAAACCUAGAUAUAUGGUUUGUUAUUUGUUAAUUGGUUGUACAUUGAUAAUGCGAAAACGCAUCAGUAACUCGAUGUUAUAAAACGCAUUGUUGUGUAUAGUUGAUUAAUGAAUAAGUAAAUGCAUAUAAGUCGAAGUUUAUCUGUUACUUUUAUCCUAAGAGGUUAAAAGCGAUAUCUCGGCCGCUCGAUGAUUUGAUUUGACUUAUGUGCCGGGCCCGGUCAGAACUGAAUUUAUGUGUUCGAUUAAGUUCUAUGUCAAAUGAAUCGGAGAUCGAGAAACCAAAUGCUUGACAAAAUUGAUUCCAUAAAAUUGUCAGCAUGAUAUCUAACAGAGGACUGUAUGAUCCCUUAUCUAAAGGAAAAGAUUGAUUAGAUCAGAGUUUGACAACGUCUUUGAGAGCGAUGAUUGCAAAUCGAAUUGUACUUGUGCAUAUAGUUACUAGACUUAUCCAAGUGGGAGACUGUUGGAAUAGUAUCGAAGGCUACAACUAUAUUUGGCAAGUAUUUGACCCGGUUGUGCAUGAUCCUUUUAGGUUGCCUUCAUCAUAGCAACUUGACAGGAUGAUUUAUAAUGAGAGAAGGAAUAUUAUUAAUAUAUUAUAAGUAUAAUAUAAGGAAUAAUAAUAUUGUUUGAUUGAUAUAGGUCAUAAAUUAAUUAGGAAUUAAUUUGGUGACUUAAAGAGAUUAAUUAAACAAAGGGGUAUAAACUGUCAAUUGUUUGAUAGUUACACUUUGGGCUGUAAAUCCUUCGUGGAUAGGGUUGGACGAUUUCUAGGGCUUGGGAUAAGCCACAAAUCGUCCAAGGGCUUAUCUUAGAAGGGAUUUGGAUUGCUUUGAGUAAUAGUUAUCCAACUAGGGUUUUAGAGUGAAACUCUAGGAGCCUUACAAGUAUAAAUAGACCCCAUGGGCAAGGGAAAUCGACACCUCUGCUAAAGUAAAGAAACCCUAGCCGAUUUCAUCCCCUCUCCUCUCUCUCAAAUCAUCCUCUUGCUAGUUGGUGUUUGUAAGCCAUUAGAGGAGUGACAUUUGUGACUCUAAAGCUCCAAGAACAAGAAGAUCAAACAAGUGUUUUGAGGUAAGCUUCUAACUCUGAUUUUGUAUUGUUCUUAUACUCAAUUAGCCAUUAGAAGUCUUGGAUUCAAUGUAUGUUCAAUUAGAGAAACCUAGAUCCAAGCAUUAGGGUUUGUAUGUGCACAUAGGAAUGUUCAUAUGGCCAAAACCCAUCAGAAUGAUGUUAUGAUUCAUGUAUAAUCAUUGUGAUGGUAUUCAAUUGAGUCACAAUAGCCCUCGGACGUUUCCGCCGUCUGGUUCGGGGGUGUGACAAUGCACUACCCGGUAAAGAUAACUAGUGAUUUUUUCGAAUGUUCUACUAUAAGAAAAUUGAUUGCUAAAAAGAUUAACUAAGUCUGCAAAUGAAGUAAUAGAGUAAGGGGGAACGUUAAAAAGCCAUUUUAAGGUUGAUCUUAUGAGGGUCAAACCGAAACCCUUGCAUAGGCAAGCUUCCUUCAAAUGUGUGGGAAUGGGGAUGAUUUCCAUUCUUUCCUUGUAUUGUGUCACAUGCUCUUCAGGGUCUGUAGUUCCAUCAUAAGGCUUCAUGUUGUGAAUGUGGAAGCACUUUGGGAUUUCAUUAUCAGCUAUCGCAAGAGAAAAUCUUCAGAUCCUAUGGCUCGUAGGGAUACCUCUGGUAUAGGUUGGGCUACUCUGGGCACACUUGAGAUCAUCUGACUUAACUGUUGAAGUUUAUUGGCCAUGAUCGGGCUCAUUUUUGCAUUGAGGUCCAUAGAGUUAGUAUUAAAAAUAUUUUUAUUCAUGAAGUUAAUCCUUGUUAUUAGGAGUGAUGAAGGUUUCUUCGGGAUCUUGGAUCAUAUUAGCUCGCUCAUUCGGGGUUGCACCAUAAGUGGGAGCAGGUGUCGGUGUUGAGGAUCCUAUAUCCUAGCGGUUUCCUAAGGAUCCUAUAUUGUCAAAGUUCAGGAUUUUGGGCUAUAAGAUCGAGGGUGCUGAUUUUUGUGGUUUAUAGAUCUACGCCCUCAAUCUCUCCGUCUCCUUAAGCACCGUCCUGUUGUCCUCUUGCUGCCGAGUAACUUGUCGUUCCAGUCUCUUCAUUAUAUCAAAGAGCUCGUUGUUGGAAAUCGUUACAGGAGGAUCCUAAAAUCGUUGGAGUCUUCUUCGGCGCCUCAGAAGUCUUCUUAGGUGCUCCAUUAGGAGGUGGUGGAAGGUUUUUAGAGGAAAUGGGAGGAAUAGAGGAAGAGGAUAAAGUUAGUUAGGUAUACAUUAUUCUUGAACGAUUUUGAACACCACGACCACACGGUAGGCGCCAAAUUGUUUUUGGUCAAAAUAUGAGUAAGCAUUAUUCAACCAAAUUGUAUAAAAGGCUUUGGUGUUUAAGGUAAAUAAUGAUUAAAGUGAGACAAGUGAGUUACAAGGAAAUCCAUUGCUCUUUAUAGGAUCUCCGACAUAAAACCUUGGGAGGUGAAUGAUCACAUGCCUUGUUGUUUUAUUGAUAUGAAUGUGAGAUUAUAGAAAUGAUGAUGAUAAUACGAAUACAAAUGUAGUAGUAAGUUAAUCGUGUACAUAGUGUGUGAAUUAUAGGUGUAUUUAAAUAACAUUAUUUAAUUUUCAUUACAAUUUUGCAUAUUAUAUAUAUAUAUAUAUANNNNNNNNNNNNNNNNNNNNNNNNNNNNNNNNNNNNNNNNNNNNNNNNNNNNNNNNNNNNNNNNNNNNNNNNNNNNNNNNNNNNNNNNNNNNNNNNNNNNNNNNNNNNNNNNNNNNNNNNNNNNNNNNNNNNNNNNNNNNNNNNNNNNNNNNNNNNNNNNNNGAAAUGAAUGUUAGGAACAGUACUUGACCCCAGGUACUGUUCAUCAGGUUUACUUAAUCAACCAUGGUCACCGCCUCCACCCCCAUCCAGUUUAUUCCAAACUCACAAAGCCUGAUCUCGAUCAUUCCUCAACCCUGUAUCAUUGUUCUAUUGAGAGGGUGUUUGGGAAAGCUUUAAAAACUAACUUUUUACUUUUUACUUUUCAGAAAAGUCAAAAAAAAUGCAAAAGAUGUUUGUCUAAGUUAAAAAGUUCUUUUUAAACAACUUUUGAGCAAGAGGAAAAAAGGUUGAUUUCAAAAGUCACAAAAACGUGACUUUUGGAACUUUUGUACUUCUUAAAAGCAACUUUUGUCUUUUUACCAUCCAAACACAUUCUAAACCGUAACUUUUGGAAAAAGAUCUUUUAAAAAAGUUCCCAAAACACCCCCUGAGUACCAUCAUCAUCGUCGUCUCGGCUUUAGGUCACCGUUCUAAAUACGCCACCGCCACCGAUUUCAUAGAUCGUUUCUUCCUACUCUCAGCUUCUUAUCUUGCUCGCUCCAAUCCGGUCGACUCUUCCUCUACCUUCCAGUUCAUUCCAUCUUUCCAAUUGAUUGUUCGCCACAGUCUCCUAUAGUCUCAUAUUUCAGUCCAGUUCAUCGACUCCCACAAUAUCGAUUCCUCUCACUACAUACAUCUCCGCCAUCUACCACUAAUUGAAAAAGAUCGACGCGUUUCCAAUCAUUCAACAACCGACGACGGCUUCACGAUUUUGAGGUUUUUGGCUUCGAUUUUUAAGGUAUGUGAAGUUCUAUAGCCACGAUUUUCAUCUUUCUGGAUCGAUUUUGUCUGCAACUGCUCCACCACCUCGCCACCGCCGGUGAUGCAACAUCGGAAGCUUCUUUCAAGAAAACCAUUGCUACAAAAAAAAACCUAAAUUCAAGAACGAGGAUGUUUGCCACUGCUCAAUCAAAUCCUAAAUCACGUCUCUUCCUACUUUGCUUCACUAAAGUCACGUUUGUCAGAUUCGUCAAAUCUGACAACAAUCCGGUGUUUACGGUAGACGAAGGUCUUUCUCCAGAAAUCUGUCGGAAUUAUCAGGGAUUCAAAAUAAGUUAACUGUGAUUUCAUUCACAAUUUUAGGAGUUUAUUACAAUUUUGUUACCUUUGACAAUGAUGAAUAUAUCGAAGGUCAAUACUAUAUCAGAAAUUUGUUUUUUUUUCUUUGUGUUCAUCAUAUUAUUCUACAAUAUUUCAACUAUAACAACACUAAUAUUUACGCUUUUGUUAUUCAUGUGCUAAAAUUUUGUUGAUGUCAACCGUAUGAAAGCGUAUUAAUUCAAACAAUUUUGUAGAUGUAGCGUCUCACACUGAUGGCAAACCUCUGUUACUGAGUUGGUUUGAAUGAUAGUUCUCAAAUGGCUAUGCCUUUAUUACUGGUAUGAUUCAUUUCCUCUGAAGAUAAAAUUCUGAGCCACUCAUGAUUGCAACUAUAUCUCAUUAAUGUGAGUAUUGAAUUCUUUCAAUUAAGAUAAUUGAAAUUAUGUAUAUUGUUAUUUUGGGUACGGUUUUUAGGUAAUUGUAACUCAAUUUUUUUUGUGGAUAAAAUCGGGUGCAAGGAAGUUGAUGAAUUCGCAGUUAUGGCACAUGUGUGCUGGCCCUUUAGUCUCUUUACGUCAAAUUGGAAGCCUCAUGGUCUACUUUCCACAAGCCCACAAUGAGCAAGUAAGCUUCUUUCAGAAUAUCUUUGUAAAAAAAAAAUACAUGUAUUCUAUCUCCUAAUAGAAUUCUUCCUUUUUUUUUUAUUGUUUUAUGCAAGCUUGCAGCAUGAUGCAAACCUGAUGAAGUUUAUGCAUAGAUGACUCUUCAACCCGUAACUAAACUAGGUCAGCCGAUGUAUAAUGUUUUAUUUGUGAUUUUUUUUUGAGUUUUUAGAAAUAGAUUCUGACAUGAUGUAGAUUUUUGUAGUAUGAUCAACAAGCAUUACUUAUGUGUGAAAUGGUUUUGAAGUAAAACAAGCACCCAACUGCAAAAACACAUGUUCCGAAUACUCACUUGAAGCGCAAGGUCGGAUUAAAUUUUUCGUUAAUUUUUCUGUUUUUUUUAAAGAUCUAUUGGAAAUGAAUUAGGAUUGACAAAUUUAUAUUUUUUUAUGUGUUUCAUCCUCUUUUCACCGGAGAAGCUGCUACAUGGCAGGCUUGGCUAUAUAUUGGCUUAUCCAGAUUUAGUAACAUGGUUCGUUUUGGAGUGGUUGGCCUUAAAUUAAGGCGUGGGUAUGCUCGAUCACAAUCAGGAGAGCCAAUCCAUGUAUUAUUUUCAGCAACUCUUUUAUAUCAAUGAGUUAUUGAUCAUAUGGAUUAUCAUAUGAUAGAGGAUUUUGAAAUAGAAUGUCCAGUAUUCAUUGCUUUAUAUGUUCAACACAAAUAAUAUGAGAAAUGAAUUCGAGUUUCAACAAAUGUAUUACAACAAUCCUUUUUCCAUUUUCUUUUUUAUUACAACGUUAACUUACACGAUAAAUAUAUUCAUUUGUUUAGCACUGCAACAUUGGAGCUUGCAAUGUCAUUAAGAGACGGUUCGAUAAAUCUUUCAAAUUCUCAGAAUUGUCAACUCUCUACAAGAUCAAACGCAAGUGUAAGAAUAAUAAGCUCUUUUCAUUUUAAAAUAAAAAAGAACCAUUAUUUUUUAGAUAUUUUAUGUUAUCUUUUUCUACUUAAAUUACUUGAUCAUAAUCUCGAAUGUUGCUAUUUUAUCUUUUUUCUAAGUUAUAUUUUAUUUUUUGAUUGUCUUCCAAGUAAAGAGAAGUUUAGGCUAGAGGCUUCAGUUGUUGUUGGAUGGAGAAAGAAACACCAAAAAAUGGCUCCAGAAGGAGAGAUUAUGGUACUUUAUUUUAGAAAUAAUUUAUUACAUUUGAUAUCUACAGGCAUGAAUUAAAAGCACAGAGGGAGAGAAUCUUUCAAAUUGAUGACUACAAUGUUUAAAGCUAGAUACUUUUUCCAACAACUUAUGUCGGGAGUUCAGUACUACCAUUUCCUGGAGAUUGGUUGAGUGGUCUCAAUUGCUAUACUAACCAUAUAAAUCAAAGUACGUUGCUAAUUUCUGCAUGUAACCUUCAUAUGGAUAUCUCUCUCAUCUAUCUCAUUCUUUUGAUGAAUUUUCUAUAGAUAUUAACAUGUGAUCAAUUGGAAAUUUCGUCAACAAGGGCAGAUUGCCAGAUUGUUACAACUGAAAAAAGAGAAAGCCAAAUCAUUAUCAGGUACAUAUGUAAUAAAUAAAUGAUAAGUAUCAAGGGUAUUCUUGGUAUUUUAGCAGCUACUACUACAUGAUCAAACAAAGUGCAUUUAUUUAUAAAAUCAAAGACAAUACAUAAUUUAUUGUGGGCGAUUGUUUAAUUUUAAUCCAAUUGUUCAUAUGUUGGAAGUAGAUAUGAAUGAAGAUUGUCAUGAAUUGGUGUGUAGAUUGUCUAAAUGGUAUUAGACAUAGCAAAGGGUUGCUACAACGUUCAUGAGUGCUUAUGAACUAGUUUUGAGCAUUGGAACAAACCCGCGCUUGCUGGAAUCACCUUAUGGAAUAUGUUAUAGAAGGGUGAUCGCAAGACGAUAAUAUCAUAUACACUUAAAACCUAGAUAUAUGGUUUGUUAUUUGUUAAUUGGUUGUACAUUGAUAAUGCGAAAACGCAUCAGUAACUCGGUGUUAUAAAACGCAUUGUUGUGUAUAGUUGAUUAAUGAAUAAGAAAAUGCAUAUAAGUCGAAGUUUAUCUGUUACUUUUAUCAUAAGAGGUUAAAAGCGAUAUCUCGGCCGCUCGAUGAUUUGAUUUGACUUAUGUGCCGGGCCCGGUCAGAACUGAAUUUAUGUGUUCGAUUAAGUUCUAUGUCAAAUGAAUCGGAGAUCGAGAAACCAAAUGCUUGACAAAAUUGAUUCCAUAAAAUUGUCAGCAUGAUAUCUAACAGAGGACUGUACG